rnacentral:lncRNA from 1 species
CUCAUUUUUCUACUGCUCGUGGAUUUACGCGCACGUUGGAACCGAAGAGAGCUCUGUUGUUGCAAUGUUCAGCCCACAAGAGCUUACUGGUGAAGGAAUGGGACAAGACCCAUCUUUAUGCAAAGCCAGCGUUACAGUAAUGUUCCAGCAUCUCAUAAUCUAUCCUGGGGAAUUCAGCUGCCUCCCAGGGUGAAUACAGGUAUUCCUGAUGACAGUCUGCCUCUAUCUUACAGAGCAGCUUGUUGCUAUAUACCAUUGAAAAGCCUUCAGAGCUGAGAGGUACUACUAACCAAUAACCUGCUUGGCUCAAAGGGCCAGCACCUUCUCUCUAAAGCCCAAGAGGAGUUUGAGGAAAACUAGGUGUCUGUGUUCACUCCAGGCUGAAGUUACAGGUCUGAGCAAAUAAGGUGUAUAAAAAAUGAAGGUGAAUUUUCCAAGUUCUUGGACAACCUAGCUGUUGAAAAGCUUUCUGGGUUUGGGGGGUAUUUCAGAUGUACCUUAAAGUGUUAGCAGACACAGAUUAAGACACUGGGAGCCAAUGAAACAGCAGUUGAGGGUUUGCUGUGUAUCACAUUUCUGUAUUUUAUCACCCCCUUCCUGCAACAUUAUUUAUCUGGAAUCUACCUGCCCUUUUGUUUUUUAGAUACAAGGGCUUGGUUUUGUUACCCAGGCUGGUUUCAAGGCCAUAGCUUUAAGAGAUCCUCUCACCACAGAUUUCCAAAGUGCUGGGAUUGCAGGUGUGAUUCAUGGCACCCAGACUUUGCUGCCUUUCUUACAUGAUCCAGGCCCAGAACCCAAACUCAGGCACUGUAUAGAUGACCACUUUCGUAAACUACUGACCUAGCUUGUUGCCAAUUGUUGAUUGAACUUCCCAUAACUCCACUUCGUGUCUGUUCCUCUGUAUACAGCCACCUUCUGUUCCCGUCAUGAGCCUUUAGGUCUCCAUUUGCAUAUUGCAAAUACUAUGUUCCAUGUAGGUAGCUCAUUCAGGGCCUUGCUCUUCACUUCAAAAAAGGUUCCCUUGAGGACUGGCUGUCAAUUUGUGUUGCUGUGUUGGUUGUUGAUGAAAAUAAUAAAAUGAUUGAUUACAUA